AGGAUUAUAUUUAACUAUAAUAUUUGAUUUGCAACCAAAAAGUACCGAAAAGGUUAAUCUUA
rnacentral:tRNA from 1 species